rnacentral:lncRNA from 1 species
CACGGGCUUCAUCUACAACGAGUGCUUCAGCCGAGCCACCACUAUUUUCCCCUCAGGCUGGAGUGUGGCUGCCAUGGCCAACCAGUCAGGCUGGAGUGACGAGUAUCUGUCCCAGCACCCCAUGCUUACCCUGAACCCUAACAUCACUGGUGUCUUCCUCGGACCUUAUCCCUUCGGCAUUGACCCGAUCUGGAGCCUGGCCACCAACCACCUGAGCUUCCUCAACUCCUUCAAGAUGAAGAUGUCUGUCAUCCUUGGGGUCACACACAUGGCCUUUGGGGUGUUCCUCAGCAUCUUCAACCAUGUGUGAGCUAAGGGUGCCAGUGAGCUAAGGGUGUGGGCAGUGUCCUUGUGGGUCCAGGCUGCUCUGACCUCUGUUCCCACAGGCACUUUGGCCAGGCCCACCGGCUACUGCUGGAGACCGUGCCUGAGCUCAUCUUCCUGUUGGGCCUCUUUGGCUACCUUGUUUUCCUCAUUGUCUACAAGUGGCUCUACGUC